rfam:Ciona savignyi cont_31617, whole genome shotgun sequence.
UCCUCGUUAGUAUAGUGGUGAGUAUCCCCGCCUGUCACGCGGGAGACCGGGGUACGAUUCCCCGACGGGGAG